GAGACUGCAGCUCUGGAUAAUAGCGUUUAUGUCUUUCUCAGGAUGGACUUCAUCCAAAGGCAUGAGAUCCCGGUGAAGAGGAAACUGACUCACCAUGGAGGUCAAGGGGAGCCCAGGCUGGAUGAGACCCAUCCUUCACAGUUACCAUCAAGAGUGAAGGUAUAGGGAUGAGCAGCAUCAUGUGUGCCUUGGGACAGGUGGUAGCAUCCAUGGUGAGCUGUUCUUCUAUGGCCUGAAUAACUGAGUAACUGAAUGGAGG
rnacentral:lncRNA from 1 species